rnacentral:rRNA from 1 species
CGAAAGGCUUUACUAAACCGUACUGAAAACCGACACAGGUGGUCAGGUAGAGAAUACUCAGGCGCUUGAGAGAACUCGGGUGAAGGAACUAGGCAAAAUAGCACCGUAACUUCGGGAGAAGGUGCGCUUACAGUAAUUGUAGUCCCUUACGGAUGAAGGUGAAGUAAGUCGAAGUGACCCGCUGGCUGCAACUGUUUAUUAAAAACACAGCACUCUGCAAACACGAAAGUGGACGUAUAGGGUGUGAUGCCUGCCCGGUGCUGGAAGGUUAAUUGAUGGUGUAAUCGCAAGAGA